GUGCCAGCAGCCGCGGUAAUACAGAGGUGGCAAGCGUUGUUCGGAAUUACUGGGCGUAAAGGGCGCGUAGGCGGUUCGCCAAGUCCCGUGUGAAAUCCCUCGGCUCAACCGAGGAACUGCGCGGGAAACUAGUGAGCUUGAGUUCGGGAGAGGGAAGCGGAAUUCCGGGUGUAGCGGUGAAAUGCGCAGAUAUCCGGAGGAACACCGGUGGCGAAGGCGGCUUCCUGGACCGACACUGACGCUGAGGCGCGAAAGCUAGGGGAGCAAACGGGAUUAGAAACCCUAGUAGUCC
rnacentral:rRNA from 1 species